rnacentral:rRNA from 1 species
UACGUAGGGUGCAAGCGUUGUCCGGAAUUAUUGGGCGUAAAGAGCUCGUAGGCGGUUUGUCGCGUCUGCUGUGAAAACCCGAGGCUCAACCUCGGGCCUGCAGUGGGUACGGGCAGACUGGAGUUCGGCAGGGGAGACUGGAAUUCCUGGUGUAGCGGUGAAAUGCGCAGAUAUCAGGAGGAACACCGGUGGCGAAGGCGGGUCUCUGGGCCGAUACUGACGCUGAGGAGCGAAAGCGUGGGGAGCGAACAGG